CCUACGGGAGGCAGCAGUGGGGGAUAUUGCACAAUGGGGGGAACCCUGAUGCAGCGACGCCGCGUGGGUGAAGAAGCGCCUCGGCGCGUAAAGCUCUGUCAGCAGGGAAGAAAAUGACGGUACCUGAAGAAUAAGCCCCGCCUAACUAUGUGACAGCAGCCGCGGGAAUACGGAGGGGGCGAGCGUUAUCCGGAUUUACUGGGUGUAAAGGGGGCGUAGACGGGGAUGCAAGCCAGGGGUGAAAGCCAGGGGCCCAACCCCGGGACUGCUCUUGAAAAUGCGUGGCUGGAGUGCAGGAGAGGCAGGCGGAAUUCCUGGUGUAGCGGUGAAAUGCGUAGAUAUCAGGAAGAACACCGGUGGCGAAGGCGGACUACUGGACUGCAACUGACGUUGAGGCGCGAAAGCGUGGGGAGCAAACAGGAUUAGAUACCCCAGUAGUC
rnacentral:rRNA from 1 species